rnacentral:tmRNA from 135 species
GGGGCUGAUUCUGGAUUCGACGGGAUUUGCGAAACCCAAGGUGCAUGCCGAGGGGCGGUUGGCCUCGUAAAAAGCCGCAAAAAAAUAGUCGCAAACGACGAAAACUACGCUUUAGCAGCUUAAUAACCUGCUUAGAGCCCUCUCUCCCUAGCCUCCGCUCUUAGGACGGGGAUCAAGAGAGGUCAAACCCAAAAGAGAUCGCGUGGAUGCCCUGCCUGGGGUUGAAGCGUUAAAACGAAUCAGGCUAGUCUGGUAGUGGCGUGUCCGUCCGCAGGUGCCAGGCGAAUGUAAAGACUGACUAAGCAUGUAGUACCGAGGAUGUAGGAAUUUCGGACGCGGGUUCAACUCCCGCCAGCUCCACCA